GAUGAACGCUGGCGGCGUGUCUAAGGCAUGCAAGUCGAAUGGUCUGGUUUCCAGGCCAUGGCAAACGGGAGAGUAACACAUUGGUAAUUUACCCCAAAGACGAGAAUAAUCCAGAGAAAUCUGGAAUAAUACUCGAUAUUAUGCAUUGUCGCCUGACAAUGCAUCAAAGCUCCGGCGCUUUGGGAGAAGCCUAUGGUCUAUCAGCUAGUUGGUGGGGUAAUGGCCUACCAAGGCGAUGACGGAUAGCGGGUGUGAGAGCAUGACCCGUCUCACUGGGACUGAGACACUGCCCAGACUCCUACGGGAGGCUGCAGUCAAGAAUAUUCCUCAAUGGCCGCAAGGCUGAAGGAGCGACGCCGCGUGUAUGAUGAAGCCCUUCGGGGUGUAAAAUACUUUUAACCGGGACGAAGUACUGACGGUACCGGUUGAAUAAGGGGCUGCUAACCUCGUG
rnacentral:rRNA from 1 species